AGCGAUCUGGAAUGUAAAACCAAGUAUAACAAAGGGGCUACUAGGGAUGACUAGGCAAUGGAUCGGAAUGAGGUCUAAUCCAAACUGUCGAAUCCGAUCAAGGGUAUGUUAAUCAACCCGGUCUCGACGAUCAAGGCCAAAAGGUGCCUCACUUACCUUGGGAACUGAAACAUCUUAUGUACCAAGAGGAAAGGAAAUCAACCGAGACUCUACAAGUAGUGGCGAGCGAACGUAGACAAGCUAUCUCUAUCAACUUAGACAACCUCUGUUUACGUUUAUGCGUAGCAGCAGGAAAAUGGUAGCCUUCGGACAAAGACAUAAACAAUAGCUUGGAAUAGCUAGCCACAGAUGGUGAUAGCCCAGUGAUGAUAUGACUUUGCUCCCUUUUGGCAGUGAAUUUAAUUCCUUAGAGAGAAUUGGCGGCUUGUCAAGCUGCUUUUAUAAUACCCUGUCUAUUAAGGCAGGAAAGGUGUACCAUCAUCAAAGCUAAGUAUGUUCCAUUGACCGAUAGUGCAGAGUACCGUGAGGGAAUGUUGAAAAAGCAGGUAGUAAACUGGUGAAAAGCCUGAACUAGUGGCUCCAUAAGCAGCUGGAAUCACAACAGCCAUUGACUCCAACUCAAUGUGUGAUGACAGCGUACCUUUUGUAUAAUGGGUUACCAACCAUCAGACCCGAACCCAGGUGAUCUUGCCAUGGCCAAGUGCUAUUUAAUAAGACUGAACGGGUGUCCGUUGCAAGGGACUCCGAAGAGCUGUGGCAAGGGGUGAAAAGCCAAUCUAACCUGGAGAUAGCUGGUCUUCUGCGAAACCCGUUUUAGCGGGUCGCCCAUUUAUUGAAAUUAAAUUCGUUACUAGACGGUACGGCACUGGAAGCCACGCAGCUUUUGCUGCAUAAUCGGGGGGCUGUCAUGGCUCUAUCGAUGGCUUCUAACCCCGGAAAUGUAUAGUAUACAAUGAUGGGCAAUCAGACGUAUCGUGAUAAGGCGAUUCGUCAAAAGGGCAACAGCCCAGAACAGGUGUGAAGGUCCCUAACAAGCUACUGAGUGAACACAAGGCAGUCCUCUCCAGUGUCUCUCCACAAAGUGGGCUUGGAAGCAGCCACCUUUUAGCGAUAGCGUAACAGCUCAGUGGUCUGAGCCUCCCUGUAAAAAGGGAAUAUUGCCUGGUGAGGGCGCCAAAAAUGUAACGGGUCUAUAGUAGUUGUCUCUCUGUUCCAGCUUUGGAUAUGGAGGGAGUGGCAGUUUCUUCACUGUCUCACCGAAACCCUGUCCUAGAUGUAAAAUUCUAGGGGUAGCAGAAUACCCAGCAAAUGGAAUGAAGCUUGCUCAUUGAGCCGGUGGACAUAGCUGGGCUAAGAAUGCUGACAUGAGUAGCCUAAAAGGAGGGUAAUUCCCUCUUCGCCGAAAGCAGAAGGGUUUCAUUUGUAAGGUCUAUACCUAGAUGAUUAAAGCAGCGGCCUCUAAGGUUCAGAGUAACAAAUUAGUUCCGAUGAGUAACUCUUCUAUAGGGCAGUAACCUUCCUUAUAAGUUUACCUUCAAGUAAUUAGAGGUAUACUUCAAAGAGUAAGGUUCGGGAAAGAGCCCUACAGAAUCAAUCUUAAAACCGUACCCUAAACCGACACAGGUCUGCAAGUAGAGCAUACUAAGGCGUAGAGAUAAUCGUCUUGAAGGAACUCGGCAAAAUGACCCCGUAACUUCGGGAGAAGGGGUGCCACUAAUAAGUGGCGGCACUAAACAGGGGGGCGCGACUGUUUACUUAAAACACCGGACUCUGCUAACACUAGCGUGGAUGUAUAGAGUCUGAUACCUGCCCGAUGCUAGAUGAUCAACUAAGCCGUUUUAGGAUGGCAAAGGAAGCUCUAGUCAAUGGCGGCUGUAACCUUGACGGUCCUAAGGUAGCGAAAUUCCUUGGCAUUUAAAUGAUGUCCCGCAUGAAAGGUGUUAACGAAGCUCCCACUGUCUCCAAGACGAGCUCGGCGAAAUUGAAUUAUCCGUGAAGAUGCGGAUUACCUCCAGCUAGACGAGAAGACCCUUUGAAGCUUGACUGCAACUAGUUAGUGUGUAACCGCUACUAAGGUACAAAGGGAGUCGACUAGACGAGAUACCUUGAUCUUUGUAGUAGGUUUCACUAUAAAUGCUGGCUAGUAGGCAGUUUGUCUGGGGCGGCAAUCCUCACCUAAAGUAACUGAGGAGUCCGAAGGUGUGCUUUGCUAGGUUGGAAACCUCUCUAUGGCUAUGGUGAGCCUAAAUAAGCGCAAUGGUAUAAGCAUGCUUGACUGUGAGACCUACAAGUCUAUCAGGUAAAACCCUUUCUAUUUACCCCUUCAUAUAUCAGGUCUCUCACGGCUAAAGUUAACCUUACCUUCUUUCUUAUUUCAUCACUUGUUAGCCUUGGUUCACAGUGCAGCGCACUUGUGGAACAAGUUUGUUUUGUUUAAAGUAGUAAAGGAAUGGAAGAAGGGGUAAUUAGGUAUAAAGGGUAUAGGUAACUAGGGCAUAGUGACCCGGUGAUACAUCAUGGAAUGUUCAUCGAUCAACGGAUAAAAGCUACUCAAGGGAUAACAGGCUGAUCCUCCACGAGAGUCCAUAUUGACUGGGGGGGUUGGCACCUCGAUGUCGGCUCAUCCUAUCCUAGAGCAGUAUAAGGUUCUAAGGGUUCGGCUGUUCGCCGAGUAAAAGGGUACGUGAGCUGGGUUAAGUACGACGCGAGUCAGUACGGCUUCUAUCUACUGGAGGGAGUUGGAAGUAAGGAGGAAGCAUUUUUAGUACGCGAGGACUUAAAUGGAGUGACCUCUGGUUUACCAGUUAUCAACAGCUAAUAAAGCUAUGGUAUGGCUGGAAAGCUACGUCACGAAUAGAUAACUGCUGAAACCAUAUCAAGCAGGAAACUACUCCUCUAUACUUCCUUUGAAACUUAGGGUAGACCACCCUAUUGAUAGGGCCUGGGUGUAAUAGCAGUAAUGCUUUUAGCCUCGGGUUACUAAUUGUUAAGCAACUUGGUUUUACCAGAUCGUU
rnacentral:rRNA from 1 species